rnacentral:rRNA from 1 species
UGGGGAAUAUUGCACAAUGGGGGAAACCCUGAUGCAGCGACGCCGCGUGAGCGAAGAAGGUUUUCGAAUCGUAAAGCUCUGUCCUAUGGGAAGAUAAUGACGGUACCAUAGGAGGAAGCCCCGGCUAACUACGUGCCAGCAGCCGCGGUAAUACGUAGGGGGCAAGCGUUGUCCGGAAUCACUGGGCGUAAAGGGUUCGCAGGCGGAAAUGCAAGUCAGUUGUGAAAGGCAGAGGCUCAACCUCUGUAAGCAAUUGAAACUGUAUUUCUUGAGAUGUGGAGAGGCAAGUGGAAUUCCUAGUGUAGCGGUGAAAUGCGGAGAUAUUAGGAAGAAUACCGGGGGCGAAGGCGACUUGCUGGGCACAAACUGACGCUGAGGAACGAAAGCGUGGGUAGCAAACAGG